rnacentral:rRNA from 1 species
AUCUACGGCCAUACCACUCUGAACGCAGCCGAUCUCGUCUGAUCUCGGAAGCUAAGCAGGGUCGGGCCUGGUUAGUACAUGGACGGGAGGAAGUAAAAAGGCUGAACAGGUAACUUAAAAUG